GGGCUGGUCUGGCCAGAGUCCUGACCCAUUCUCAGCGUGAUAUGGUGCAGGUCUCUGUGCCUCUCUGAGCCUCGGUCUCUUCAUCCAUCCCACCGAGGUGAUAAUAGUCCCCUGGCUCAUCGUCAGUGCUCAGCCCUUGACCUUUGCAAUAAAAUUGCUAAUUGCCAUGGUAGCUAAUUACUAUCAGGAGAUCCGGCUUGCCAUUUCAGGCACCCAGAAGAAACCACAGAAUCAAGCUUGGUCCAACUUCAGAGAAUGUCAGAGUGGUCCAAUAUUUCCUCUUCCUUCUGUCCCAGCCACAGAACUCAAGGUAUUCUCAAGCCCUGAAGCUUGUCUGGAGUUCAAGGUGAAAAGACAUGUCAGGAGUGAAAGAGAAGGAAAGAUCACCAGCAGCAGCAAAGACCGUGAAGAGGACAUCAGUGCUGGAUGGACAGGUGGCAUCUGAGUGGACCUUCAGGGUGGUUGGAGCCACGCAGGCCAAGAUGGCAUUCCAGAGGAAUGAAGGAGGUUCCGCCAAGGUUUGGAGGUAGAAAAUGGUGUCUCAGUGCUUUUAGGUGGACAGAAAAGAGUGGCCCAUUUUAGCUGUAGCAAAGAACUGAAGAUUGAAGGGCAGAUACAAGGAAAUCAAG
rnacentral:lncRNA from 1 species